rnacentral:lncRNA from 1 species
GAGGGUGUAGGUAUGUACCCUGGCCUCUGCCAGUCAGACUCACAUGCUAGGAGGAGCAGGGCCAGGCAGGAGAGCCGUGUCUCCUGGCAUUGGGGCUGCAGGAAAGACGAGCUCCUAGGCCACAGUGCCAGUGGCCAGUGCUGCUGCCUUGCAGGGUCGCACAGGCAGUGCUGGCUGUUUGGACUGGCUUGGCAGAAGGAUUUGAAGUAUUGUUCCUAGCCAACUGGACUCAAACCUGUUCCUCCAACCCUCUAGGGAUUCUCUUAUCACCCAGUAGCCUUUUCCCCCUAGUUUUAAAAAUUGCAGUAAAAUACACAAAAGAUAAAAUGUACUGCCUUAACCAUUUUUAAGUGUACAAUUCUGUGGUAUUGAGCACAUUUAUAUUGUGCAACCAUCACCACAUGCAUCUUCAAUAGCUUUUCAUCAGUCCUUGUCUGCAUAAAUCAGCUAGAGUUGGUUUCUAUUGAUUGCCACCAAUAAUCUUGACAGAUAUGUCUGAUCUUCCUUCUCUGCACUGACUCCUCUUUCUCUGUCUCCUCUGCUGAUUCUUUCUCCUCAUCACAACUCCAAAUAGCAGGGGGAGGGUUGUUUACACUUAUAUUCAGCACGCCCUCACGCACUCGCCUGGCUCUUCAGACCUCUCCCCUGAACUCCAGAUUCAUACAUCCAGCUGCCCUUUAGGCCUCUAGAAAGCUAAAUACCUCAGUAUCAAAAACAUGAGAAACGGAAGCCAGAGUCCUGGAUCUCUCGCCCUUUCGCUGUCCCGGUGCCCAUGCCCUUCAGGGAUGGCACCUAGACCAGCUCCCUGCAUCCCUGCCUAGACUCUGCAGUAGUCUCACGUGGCAGACCCGGAGGUCACUCUCCUCUCUGGAUGCCCUGCGGACACUCCGGUUAGCCUCAGCUGCAAGAGCCUCCUCACCCAAGGUCACGCCAUUUCCAGGACAGCACCCUGGUGACUGAGCGAGCACUGAGCUAGCCUCUCCUUGCUAGAAGCUUACGGUCGAAGGUCUCCAGCCAUCAGAAGAAGCACGUGGAGCGCUGCGUCCGUGUUGUGGUUAUUCAUCCAGCAUGUGUUGAGGAAGAAAAGUCAGAAGACCAGGACCUCCAGGGCCUCAAGGACAAACCCCUCAAGUUUAAAAAGGUGAAGAAAGAUAAGAAAGAAGAGAAAGAGGGCAAGCAUGAGCCCGUGCAGCCAUCAGCC